CUACGGGGGGCAGCAGUGAGGAAUAUUGGCCAAUGGGCGCGAGCCUGAACCAGCCAUCCCGCGUGCAGGAUGACGGCCCUAUGGGUUGUAAACUGCUUUUCUAUGCCAAGAAACCUGAUUACGUGUAAUCAGUUGCCGGUAGCAUAGGAAUAAGCAUCGGCUAACUCCGUGCCAGCAGCCGCGGUAAUACGGAGGAUGCAAGCGUUAUCCGGAUUCAUUGGGUUUAAAGGGUGCGCAGGUGGGCUUGUAAGUCAGUGGUGAAAUGCUGCCGCUUAACGGUAGAACUGCCAUUGAUACUGCGAGUCUUGAGUAUGGUUGAGGUAGGCGGAAUGUGUUGUGUAGCGGUGACAUGCAUAGAUAUGACACAGAACGCCAAUUGCGAAGGCAGCUUACUAAGCCAUUACUGACGCUGAGGCACGAAAGCGUGGGGAGCGAACAGGAUUAGAUACCCGCGUAGUC
rnacentral:rRNA from 1 species